rnacentral:rRNA from 1 species
UGGGGAAUAUUGGACAAUGGGCGAAAGCCUGAUCCAGCCAUGCCGCGUGAGUGAUGAAGGCCUUAGGGUUGUAAAGCUCUUUCGGACGGAACGUCGCGCGGGUUAACAGCCCGCGUGGAUGACGGUACCGUAAGAAGAGCCCGGCUAACUAC